GACGAACCGUGCGAACGUUGUUCGGAAUCACUGGGCUUAAAGGGCGCGUAGGCGGGCUGCCGCGUCCGGGGUGAAAUCCCACGGCUCAACCGUGGAACUGCCUCGGAUACGGGCGGUCUUGAGGGGGGUAGGGGCACGCGGAACUGUGGGUGGAGCGGUGAAAUGCGUUGAUAUCCACAGGAACUCCGGUGGCGAAGGCGGCGUGCUGGACCCCAUCUGGCGCUGAGGCGCGAAAGCGUGGGGAGCAAACAGG
rnacentral:rRNA from 1 species